GAUGAACGCUAGCGGCAGGCCUAAUACAUGCAAGUCGAACGGUAAAUAUUUUAGCAAUAAGAUAUGAGAGUGACGUACGGGUGCGUAACACGUAUGCAACCUACCUUGUACAGGAGUAUAGCUCGGGGAAACUCGAAUUAAUCCUUCAUAGUAUGAUUGGAUGGCAUCAUUUGAUCAUUAAAUCUUCGGAGGUACAAGAUGGGCAUGCGUCUGAUUAGUUAGUUGGCGGGGUAACGGCCCACCAAGACGAUGAUCAGUAGGGGAACUGAGAGGUUGAUCCCCCACACUGGCACUGAGAUACGGGCCAGACCCCUACGGGAGGCAGCAGUAGGGAAUAUUGGUCAAUGGAUGGAAGUCUGAACCAGCCAUGCCGCGUGCAGGAAGAAGGCCUUCUGGGUUGUAAACUGCUUUUUGCCAGGGGAUAAAAAUGCUCGUGCGCGAGUUAUUGAAGGUACCUGGUGAAUAAGCCACGGCUAACUACGUGCCAGCAGCCGCGGUAAUACGUAGGUGGCAAGCGUUGUCCGGAUUUAUUGGGUUUAAAAGGGUGCGUAGGCGGUCUAUUAAGUCAGUGGUGAAAUAUCGCAGCUUAACUGUGAGGGUGCCAUUGAUACUGAUGGACUUGAGUGAAGUCGAAGUAGGCGGAAUUGACGGUGUAGCGGUGAAAUGCUUAGAUAUCGUCAAGAACACCGAUAGUGAAGACAGCUUACUAGGCUUAUACUGACGCUGAGGCAGAAAGUGUGGGGAAUCAAACAGGAUUAGAUA
rnacentral:rRNA from 1 species